AGACCUACCAUGCUAAAUAGGAUCAGGACUUCGCUAGUUCUUGUAUCACUUCUUAGAGGGCUUUGCGUGUCUAACGCAAGGAAGUUUGAGGCAAUAACACGUCUGCUGAUGCCCUUAGAUGUUCUGGGCUAGCACGCGCGCUACACUGAUGCAUCCAACGAGUUUAUAACCUUGGCCGAUAGGUCUAGAAUCUUGUGAGUAUGUCGUGAUUGGGGAUUAUUGGCCAUUAUUAAUCUUUAACCCGAAUGCCUAGUAGGCGCAAGGUCGCUGGCGCAUUCGUCC
rnacentral:rRNA from 1 species